CAGAGUAGGAACAGCGCGUUAAGUGCCGUCGGACGGGAUGUUGCCGGCGGACGAAAGUGAAAGCGCUGCGGUGCUGUUCCGCAUCCGCUGC
rnacentral:ncRNA from 1 species